GACGAACGCUGGCGGCGUGCUUAACACAUGCAAGUCGAGCGGUAAGGCCCUUCGGGGUACACGAGCGGCGAACGGGUGAGUAACACGUGAGUAAUCUGCCCAUCACUUCGGGAUAACUCCGGGAAACCGGUGCUAAUACCGAAUAUGACCACUUCAGGCAUCUGAUGGUGGUGGAAAGUUCCGGCGGUGAUGGAUGAGCUCGCGGCCUAUCAGCUUGUUGGUGGGGUAGUGGCCUACCAAGGCUUCGACGGGUAGCCGGCCUGAGAGGGUGACCGGCCACACUGGGACUGAGACACGGCCCAGACUCCUACGGGAGGCAGCAGUGGGGAAUAUUGGACAAUGGGCGAAAGCCUGAUCCAGCAACGCCGCGUGAGGGAUGACGGCCUUCGGGUUGUAAACCUCUUUCAGCAGGGACGAAGCGCAAGUGACGGUAACUGCAGAAGAAGCACCGGCCAACUACGUG
rnacentral:rRNA from 1 species